UACGAAGGGGGCUAGCGUUGCUCGGAAUGACUGGGCGUAAAGGGCGCGUAGGCGGAUGGCACAGUCAGAUGUGAAAUUCCCGGGCUUAACCUGGGGGCUGCAUUCGAGACUGCAUUGCUAGAGUAUGGGAGAGGGAAGUGGAAUUUCCGGUGUAGCGGUGAGAUGCGUAGAUAUCGGAAGGAACAUCAGUGGCGAAAGCGACUUCCUGGACCAAUACUGACGCUCAUGUGCGAAAGCGUGGGGAGCAAACAGG
rnacentral:rRNA from 1 species